GACGUAGGGCGCGAGCGUUGUCCGGAUUUAUUGGGCGUAAAGAGCUCGUAGGCGGCUUGUUGCGUCAGCUGUGAAAACCCGCAGCUCAACUGUGGGCUUGCAGCUGAUACGGGCAGGCUUGAGUUCGGUAGGGGAGACUGGAAUUCCUGGUGUAGCGGUGAAAUGCGUAGAUAUCGAGAGGAACACCUGCGGCGAAGGCGGGUUGCUGGGCCGACACUGACGCUGAUGCGCGAAAGCCAGGGGAGCGAACGGG
rnacentral:rRNA from 1 species